AGGGAAGGCGGAGGCACCGGCAGCUGUUCAUCGCAGGCACCUGCAGGCGGCGCGGAGGCAGGCAAGCCAGGCCAGACCGGGCCCAGAUCUUAUCAGGGGUCCCGGUCAAAUACACCUAGUGUGCACGUAAGAAGAAAUUAGGACAAGGGCAGCAUGGAGGGAAGGUCACCGCGUGCGAGGACACCGGGAGAAGACCAGCCACCGGCGAGAGGCCCUGGAGGAAGCCAGCCCGCUGGCCCCUGGGGCUGGUACUUCCAGCCUGCAUAACUGUGAGAAACAGACUCCGCUGCCAUAGCUAACCUACCAUGAAGAGCAGACUGGUGACAUACAGACUGGUGACAUACAGAAAUGGUCCCAGCUCCAUGGAAGGUGAAGAGAAUGGAAGAUGGAGAGAACAUAAAACUUACCAUGUUCUCAAACAUCCAAUCACAGAGUCCCAUGCCUUUUUUCAAGUACUUUAUCUAAAUUUACCCAAAAACCUAUGAUGGCAUGGGUUUUCUGAGCCACUGCUUUGGCAUUUCCUAUGGCCAACAGUGAACUAUUUAUUUGCAGGCCAACAAAUUGGAUUGUCUCAGAUACGUAAUAGUUACCAUUAUAUUUAUCUGGUAAUUGUCUAGAGGGUCAUCUUCUAGGUAUGGAACAGCUAAAAAUACCUAUGCAAUAGUUGCUAUUGUUACCUCUUUAAAACUAUGCAGACCCACAUACAUGAUAUCACUGUAUAUAAGUGUGGUGACAUGAUAAUUGAAAGCUGAAAGUCAGGAAUAGGCAUGGGCAUGCCAGAAACAAUGAGCAGGUAUGCUGUGAUGUCAU